rnacentral:rRNA from 1 species
UACGUAGGUGGCAAGCGUUGUCCGGAUUUACUGGGCGUAAAGGGCGCGUAGGCGGUCGGGAAGUCCGUGGUGAAGCUCGUGGCUCAACUGCGAGUCGGCCAUGGAUACUCCUGGACUUGAGCACUGUAGAGGCAGGUGGAAUUCCGGUGUAGCGGUGGAAUGCGUAGAGAUCCGGAAGAACACCGGUGGCGAAGGCGGCUGCUGGCAGUAGCUGACGCUGAGCGCGACAGCGUGGGAGCAACGAG